CAGCGCCGCGGUAAUACAGAGGGUGCGAGCGUUAAUCGGAUUUACUGGGCGUAAAGCGUGCGUAGGCGGCUUUUUAAGUCGGAUGUGAAAUCCCUGAGCUUAACUUAGGAAUUGCAUUCGAUACUGGGAAGCUAGAGUAUGGGAGAGGAUGGUAGAAUUCCAGGUGUAGCGGUGAAAUGCGUAGAGAUCUGGAGGAAUACCGAUGGCGAAGGCAGCCAUCUGGCCUAAUACUGACGCUGAGGUACGAAAGCAUGGGGAGCAAACAGGAUUAGAUACCCCAGUAGUCCCUGUCUCUUAUACC
rnacentral:rRNA from 1 species